GACGAACGCUGGCGGCGUGCUUAACACAUGCAAGUCGAACGGAAAGGCCCUGCUUUUGUGGGGUGCUCGAGUGGCGAACGGGUGAGUAACACGUGAGUAACCUGCCCUUGACUUUGGGAUAACUUCAGGAAACUGGGGCUAAUACCGGAUAGGAGCUCCUGCUGCAUGGUGGGGGUUGGAAAGUUUCGGCGGUUGGGGAUGGACUCGCGGCUUAUCAGCUUGUUGGUGGGGUAGUGGCUUACCAAGGCUUUGACGGGUAGCCGGCCUGGGAGGGUGACCGGCCACAUUGGGACUGAGAGACGGCCCAGACUCCUACGGGAGGCAGCAGUGGGGAAUAUUGCGCAAUGGGCGGAAGCCUGAUGCAGCAACGCCGCGUGCGGGAUGACGGCCUUCGGGUUGUAAACCGCUUUCGCCUGUGACGAAGCGUGAGUGACGGUAAUGGGUAAAGAAGCACCGGCUAACUACGUG
rnacentral:rRNA from 1 species